rnacentral:rRNA from 1 species
UUUGUGGAGAGUAUGAUACCGGCUCAGGACGAACGCUGGCGGCGUGGAUGAGGCAUGCAAGCCGAACGAGAAGUCGGGCUCCGGCCCGAUGGAAAGUGGCGAAAGGGUGAGUAACGCGUGGGUAAUUUACCUCUGAGAUGGGGAUAACAACCUGAAAAGGUUGCUAAUACCAAAUACGAUUGCCGGGACUUCGGUUCCGGUACUGAAAGGUGGCUUCGGCUGCCGCUCGGAGAUGAGCCCGCGUCCUAUUAGCUUGUUGGUGUGGUAAUGGCGCACCAAGGCGACGAUGGGUAGCUGGUCUGAGAGGAUGGUCAGCCACAUUGGGACUGAGACACUGCCCAAACUCCUACGGGAGGCUGCAGUCGAGAAUAUUUCGCAAUGGGGGAAACCCUGACGAUGCGACGCCGCGUGGGGGAUGAAGGCUCUCGGGUCGUAAACCUCUGUGUUACGGGAUGAAUUGGCCGUUGAAGAUAAUACAACGGUUUUGACGUUACCGUAGUAGAAAGCCCCAGCUAACUACGUGCCAGCAGCUGCGGUAAUACGUAGGGGGCAAGCGUUGUCCGGAAUCACUGGGCGUAAAGCGCGCGCAGGCGGCAAGGUCAGUCAGACGUGAAAGGGCUCGGCUCAACCGAGUCAUUGCGUUUGAUACUGCCUUACUUGAGUCUAGAAGAGGAAAGUGGAAUGUACGGUGUAGCGGUGGAAUGCUUAGAUAUCGUAUAGAACACCUGUGGCGAAGGCGGCUUUCUGGUCUAAGACUGACGCUCAUGCGCGAAAGUUUGGGGAGCAACCGGGAUUAGAUACCCCGCUAGUCCUUACUGUAAACGAUGGGUACUAAGUGUAGGGGGUGUUGACUCCCUCUGUGCUGUAGCUAACGCAUUAAGUACCCCGCCUGGGGAGUACGGCCGCAAGGUUAAAACUCAAGGUAAUUGACGGGGGGCCGCACAAGCGGUGGAGCAUGUCGCUUAAUUCGACGCAACGCGAAGAACCUUAUCCAGGGCUUGACAUCCUGUGACACCCAUAGAAAUAUGGCUUUCCCUCGGGACACAGUGACAGGUGCUGCAUGGCUGUCGUCAGCUCGUGUCGUGAGAUGUUGGGUUAAGUCCCGCAACGAGCGCAACCCCUGUCUUUAGUUGCCAACAGGUAAUGCUGGGGACUCUAAAGAGACCGCUGGUGACGAGCCAGAGGAAGGUGGGGAUGACGUCAAGUCCGCAUGGCCCUUAUGCCCUGGGCUGCACACGUGCUACAAUGGCCGGUACAGAGGGAUGCCAAACCGCGAGGUGGAGCCAAUCCCAAAAAGCCGGCCCCAGUUCGGAUUGCAGUCUGCAACUCGACUGCAUGAAGGUGGAAUCGCUAGUAAUCGCGAAUCAGCAGGUCGCGGUGAAUACGUUCCCGGCCCUUGUACACACCGCCCGUCACGCCAUGGAAGUUGGUAGCAUUCGAAGCGGGUGACCCAACCCUCCGGGGAGGGAGCUCUCGAAAGUGAAACCGAUGACUGGGGCGAAGUCGUAACAAGGUAGCCGUAGGGGAACCUGCGGCUGGAUCACCUCCUUUCUA